GGCUCAAUGGUCUAGUAGUAUGAUUCGCGCUUCGGGGGUUAUCCCAGUGAUUAUGUAGUCAUUAAUUGUGCGAGGUCCCGGGUUCAACUCCCGGUUGAGCCC